CAGUGAUCUUUGUACCUAUUAUUUCCUUUUUCCCCUCCUGUUUCAUUCAUCAUUUACUCAUUGAAUAUAAUUGUGGAGCACCUCGUAUAUGCCAUUGCAGCAAGUCUAAUUAAAUGCUUGUCAUCUCAUUCUUACACAGUUCAGAAUUAACAGUUCAGACACAGUUCAGAAUUAACCAAGGUAUAUUUCUAUUACAAGUUAGUUUAUCCAAGUAAGUAAAGAAUAAACCACAGUGUAGCUCCCUUAGCCUAGGAGUCAGGUUUUAAUGACAAAGUCCGUUGCCAGCAAUGGACAUGCAGGUAACCAUUAGAGAAGUUGUAAAUACAAACCCAAACUGCUUUUAUAAACUGAAAAGAUCUUUGUUGAGUCACAGGCAAAAAAACAGGGCACUGGCACUGCAUCCAAUUAAUAUGGUCUUUAUGAUUUAUGUAUACAAGUGCCUUCUAGAGUGGUCAUGAGGAUCACAGUCUUGUGUCAUUUAGUUGGUUUUCUAUUUCACUGGUAGCAUCUUCUUUAUUAUAAUCCAUCCAGACAGCUAUUUACAAAGAAUGUCUAAAUCUGGAACUCAAGAGACACUGUAGCUUUCCACCAGAUAAACCAGCUUUUUCUGUAAUUUAGUAAUAGCUGUAGAAGGCCAAUAUAAUCCAGAGAAAAAUAUUGUAAC
rnacentral:lncRNA from 1 species